rnacentral:pre_miRNA from 1 species
GUGUGUGGAUGGUGUUCAGUAGCAGGGACAGGUGUGUUUGUGUUUGGAUUUUGUUCAGCACCAAGGACAGGCAUGUUAACCU